UCAUUGCAACCCUCAAGCGUAGCUUGGUAUUGGGCCUUCGCUCCCUGGGCGUGCCCGAAAAAUAUUGGCGGUCCGGUGUGACUUUAAGCGUAGUAAAAUAUCUCCCGCUUUGAAAGUUUCGCACCGUGAUUGCCAGACAACCCUAAUAAAAUUUAUCAAUGAUUGACCUCGGAUCAGGUAGGGAUACCCGCUGAACUUAA
rnacentral:misc_RNA from 1 species